rnacentral:rRNA from 1 species
CCUACGGGAGGCUGCAGUGGGGAAUAUUGCACAAUGGGGGCAACCCUGAUGCAGCAACGCCGAGUGAGAGAGGAAGGCCUUCGGGUCGUAAAGCUCUGUCCUAAGGGAAGAAUACUGACGGUACCCUAGGAGGAAGCCCCGGCUAACUACGUGCCAGCAGCCGCGGUAAUACGUAGGGGGCUAGCGUUAUCCGGAAUUACUGGGCGCAAAGGGUGCGUAGGCGGCCCUUCAAGUCAGAGGUGAAAGUCUACGGCUCAACCGUAGUAAGGCUUGGAAACAGUAGGGCUUGAGUGCAGGAGAGGAAAGUGGAAGUCCCAGUGUAGCGGUGAAAUGCGUAGAUAUUGGGAGUAACGCCAGUUGCGAGGGCGGCUCUCUGGACUGUAACUGACGCUGUGGCACGAAAGCGUGGGGAGCGAACAGGAUUAGAUACCCCAGUAGUC